rnacentral:piRNA from 1 species
UGACACCGUGUCUUUGGCACCAGUGGC